rnacentral:rRNA from 1 species
CUCGGGUUGUAAACUGCUUUUGUACGGAACGAAAAAGCCUUGGUUAAUACCCAGGAUCCAUGACGGUACCGUAAGAAUAAGCACCGGCUAACUACGUGCCAGCAGCCGCGGUAAUACGUAGGGUGCAAGCGUUAAUCGGAAUUACUGGGCGUAAAGCGUGCGCAGGCGGUUAUAUAAGACAGAUGUGAAAUCCCCGAGCUUAACUUGGGAACUGCAUUUGUGACUGUAUAGCUAGAGUACGGCAGAGGGGGAUGGAAUUCCGCGUGUAGCAGUGAAAUGCGUAGAUAUGCGGAGGAACACCGAUGGCGAAGGCAAUCCCCUGGGCCUGUACUGACGCUCAUGCACGAAAGCGUGGGGAGCAAACAGGAUUAGAUACCCUGGAUAGUCCACGCCCUAAACGAUGUCAACUGGUUGUCGGGUCUUCACUGACUCAGUAACGAAGCUAACGCGUGAAGUUGACCGCCUGGGGAGUACGGCCGCAAGGUUGAAACUCAACGGAAUUGACGGGGACCCGUCCAAGCGGUGGAUGA